rnacentral:tRNA from 1 species
GGAAGGGUGGCAGAGCGGUUGAAUGCACCGGUCUUGAAAACCGGCGUCCUCUCACGAGGACCGUGGGUUCGAAUCCCACCCCUUCCGCCA